rnacentral:lncRNA from 1 species
GCAGCCUGAGUUCCCCGGAGCAAGGCUGCUUCUCUCCACCCACUCCUCACCAAGAACUCCUGAACUUGAGAGUGGACGACUUCAAAGCUAGCUCUCACAGACUCACCUGGAAAAGAGUUCAGCUGCGCGUUCAUUGAACCGAGAGGCCAGAUCACCUAUGUGAGGCGGUGGGAACCAUAUGGAGAUUUAUAUUAGAACUUCAGCAAAGUGCACAGCUGCAGCCGGCAGAAGCCAGCUCUCGGGCUGACAGGCAAAUGAACCAGAUCGUGGACGGGGCCUCUGGGUGGCAGCUCCGGCCUUUUGGUUGUUGGACAACUAUAGUCAGAACUGAAAUGGAACAGGGGCAGGAGAAAUAACACACUUUUACUCCACGCAACUGUUGCUUUCACAUGAUCUUCAGGAAUGUAACUGGGAUAAUUGUCCAAAUUGAAUCCCAUACCCUGUCAUGGUACUGAUUAUUAAGGUGACUAUAUGAAAGGAUCACUCCAAAAUAACACAUACCAGAAUAGGAGUCCUGUCUUAACUGAGCAAUAUACACUAUGGAGAGAUCCUUCAAAACCCGUCGGGACGAAUAACAGAUGAAUUCAUAAAACUGUUCAUCUCUGUUAUCCUGAAUGGUCACUCAGACAACAUUUUACUCAACUAUAAAGGGGAACACUUAAAGUGCAUAUGAGAAGAGAAGAGAAUGACCACAGGAGAAAAUCAUCUCAGGGAGAAGCAUAUUGUGUGAUGUUCUAUAUUUAUGAGACCCAUAGCAAACUGUGAAGAGAUAACAGAAUGCUUUUUGCGUGAGCUGAAACAGUAGAUGAAAUCUUUCAUUAAAAUUACUCAUACUUUGGGUCCUAUUCUUAUUUAUAAAUAAAUAUUAUUGCAAACAUUU